rnacentral:rRNA from 1 species
AGGGUUCGAGUUCUGGCUCAGGAUGAACGCUAGCUACAGGCUUAACACAUGCAAGUCGAGGGGUAGCAUGGAGUUUGCUUGCAAACUCUGAUGGCGACCGGCGAAUGGGUGAGUAACGCGUAUCCAACCUGCCCUGUGCCCGGGAAUAGCCCUUGGAAACGAGGAUUAACGCCCGAUGGCGUGCGAUGACCGCAUGGGAAAUGCACUAAAUGCGAAGGCACGGGAUGGGGAUGCGUUCCAUUAGGUUGUUGGCGGGGUAACGGCCCACCAAGCCCGCGAUGGAUAGGGGUUCUGAGAGGAAGGUCCCCCACAUUGGAACUGAGACACGGUCCAAACUCCUACGGGAGGCAGCAGUGAGGAAUAUUGGUCAAUGGGCGGAAGCCUGAACCAGCCAAGUAGCGUGAGGGAUGACGGCCCUACGGGUUGUAAACCUCUUUUAUGCGGGGAUAAAGUGCGCCACGCGUGGCGUUUUGCAGGUACCGCAUGAAUAAGGACCGGCUAAUUCCGUGCCAGCCGCCGC